rnacentral:lncRNA from 1 species
AGCAGAUGAACCUCCUGUCAUUAGAGGCGCACAGCAGAUGAACCUCCUGUCAUUAGAGGCGCACAGCAGAUGAACCUCCUGUCAUUAGAGGCGCACAGCAGAUGAACUUCCUGUCAUUAGAGGUGCACAGCAGAUGAAACUCCUGUCAUUAGAGGUGCACAGCAGAUGAACUUCCUGUCAUUAGAGGCGCACAGCAGAUGAACCUCCUACUUGCACUGAACUAUUACCAAUUCCCAGUAACAGUGGGGGAAAGGACAGACAUGGCAAAUGUGGUAGACCCUAUCAGAAAUGGCAGCUGAUGACAACAGUUAGCCUAGAUCAUUGGGUCCUACCCAAAAAGCAUCCUCAAGAACGGGCAUGAUAAACAGAGAGCUCUGUAGCUGGAUGUGCAGCCCUUGAAUUACUAAGGGACUCAGAGAAAACAAGCCUUGUUUUCCUACGACUAUCUAGGAACUGGAACACGGACUACCCACCCCUAUCUUGAGGCAGCUUCUGAAAGGCCUUACCGCUGAUGGUCAUCAGCCCAUCAGCUUGCAUCUCCAGCUGCAAGACAGUCUGGGCCCAGUUCUCAGACAAGGCCAAGUCGACCACACCAGGGGCUCUCUGGGGAGCCUGGAGGAAGUUUGACUGUUCAAUCUGCUGCAUCUCAGCCAGGAGUUCAUCCAUCUUGAAGGUCUGAGGGGCAGGGGAUACAAGGUGUACACUGUGGUCCUGCAGGAAUUCACCCACCAACUCAUCUUCAGAAGCUACUUCCAAAGCCUUGGAGACUGCCUUAGAGGCUGGGGCUCUGGGGGGGCCAGGGGCCAGGCCUUAGUCCCUUCUGCUGGGGUCGGCGGGUGUUUUCUCUUUUUACUGUUUUAACUACAUUAAUCAUGCUCAGUAUUUCGGUUCACUAAUCUCAUCAGCUGAGACUAAUUUAAUAUUUCACCCGUAUGUUGUGUAUUAAGUAGGUUGAUUCUAUUUCCAGCUGUUUGUAUUUGGCUCUUUUUCAAAUAUGGCUUGUCAAGCUUGUAGUCUUUUGCUCUUUAACAGUUUUUUUUUCCUAUUUUUCUCAUUGUGUUGACUUAAACAUUUAAAAAAUAAGUCCUAUAACCGUGUGUAACAUAAGUUUUAAUUUUCUUUUCACUUAUGGGAGAUACUACAUUUGAGACAUCUGCAGUUUAUGUCUUUGUUUUUUAAAUUUCCUUUAUGGCAAGUUGGGCUACCCACAUGGAUUUGUCAACUCUGAUCACCCAUAUCUAAGAGAAGCACUUACUUCUCAGUUGAUUAUUUUCCUAAAUGGUUUCUGUGGUUUGCUUCUCUAGUUGGAAAAUUAUCAUAUUUCACUUUCACUUUCAACAAUAUACAGUCGUUUAAAAUUCUUGUAACUUUCUGAGAAUUUUACCUUUCUACAUUUAAAAUGUGUAGAAUCUAUAGUAGUUUUCCAACAAGCACAAAUGUCAACAGUGUACACAUGAAACACAUUUUACACAAUUUUUUUUCAUAACAGACAAGAAAUCUCAAGUUACUUUAUUUAGAACAUAUCCGUUCCUCAACAUACUGUAAAGUAAUAAUAAUUUGUAGAGUUUAAUACUAGG